UUUUAGGGUUUCUCAACCUUAAUUUAAUUAUUCUUCAUCCAAUUUCCACCAAUUCAUAUCACUAAUUAGGUCCAUCUCUAAUUCAUUUGCUGGGAAAGGACAAUGGAAUACCCCGAGUGUUUAGUUGGGGUUUCGAUUUGAUUACAAUUGGUUUUAAUUUUGUCUCUGCUGCAUUCACCAUUGCUAAACCUGGGUUCUGUGCUUUGCAUGCAAGGGGCUUUUCAAAAUCAGGGAAUGAAACUGCUCUCUUCCUCUUCUUGACACCCACGUUGAUAACACUGAUCUUCAAGAGUUAAAGGAGAGGUCUCAUUUACAUUCAGUCCCUCAUCAAUAUUUUUUUUUUGCCAUCCCUUUUGCAAAUUUAUUUUUGUAGAUUUUUAUUUCAAUGGAUUUUUUUUUUUGGCUUUAGGGAAUUUUUGUUUAUAAUAAUCCAUUUUUCGAUUAAUCGUGCUUUUUCCAUUAGGUUUUCAAAUUAUCUAUAUUCGGUGUUGGCGGUGGAGAUAAAUGCGAUCUGGUGUUGUGUGGGUGAGACAUUGUAGGUGAAAACACAUACCAAAGCAACAAAGCUAUGGUGGUGGGAAUAAUCAUUCUCAGUAAAGCGGCAAUGGAGACCCGGCAUCAGCAUUUUCAAGUCGAUCUGGGGAGGAAUUAGUGAAGGAAUGUAUAAAGAGAGGGACCGAGUUGGUUUAAGCUAUUGCGAAUAGUCUUUUCAACUCACAUUCAAUUGAAGGCAUAGACGGUCCCAUUGUGCACAUGUUCGCUUCCUGAAACUAAGCUGCCAAGAUA